GCAAAAAAGGCACACAAGGCACACCUGCCCCUUCCCUCCUGCCCCUCGCCAUACCCGCCCGAGCAAAAGCACGCCCCGCCUGCCCCCUGCCCGGCACGCAGCAAAAGAAGCCUACAGCACCUGGUAUUCCCAGGCGGUCUGCCAUCUAUGUACUAACCACGCCGAUGCUGUUUAUCUUCUGAGACUUCAUUGCCUUUCAUUAGUUGCUUCUGUAGUCAUAGUCUUAGUAGUGCGGGCUGUUUUUCAAUUUGCUUAGUUGCCGUUGCGAAGGUACUGAGGAAUCUAAUGUCGCUUUUUCGUGUCUGAGGACCGUUCGGACCGUUCUCCGAGUAGCCCUCUGCGGAGUGCAGUCGGGUAGCUCAGCGUGCCUGGCAGCGCCGGGCUGCCCUGGUUUGGCGGGAACCGGGUGCGUUUGGAAUGGGCGAAUGCCAUUGGUGAACGUGAUGCCAGCCGGUCGCCAUUGGCCGAUCCAUUGCCUGCCGCGUGCUGCGAUUGGCUGCGAUUGGUGGCGCUUGACGUCCCCAGCUCCACUGCUUCAGAUUCAGUUCCUGCAUCUUCCCACCACUUCCAUAUGAAGCUGCUCAUGAAUCAGGGCUGGAUCUUCUUUUCACAUCCAUCUCUCUCAUGCUUCAGUCCAGCUCUAGAAUUGACAUUCCAGCUCCAGCCUGUCACAGGAGUAUCCUUGGUGACUAUCCCUAAAACCCAAUGGAAGAAUCUUCACAUUCUCCAAGGAGGAAUAUAUUACUAGAACCUACUACACGGAAAGUAGACUGCACUUUUAUAGCAUGAAUGAGGUGACCACCAGUGAUAUGCCUACAGGUCAGUUUAGCAGUUUAUCUGCCAAAUCUUUUUCUUGUUAUCAGCAGGCUGAGUUGAGGCUAAU